rnacentral:rRNA from 1 species
GACGUAGGGCGCGAGCGUUGUCCGGAUUUAUUGGGCGUAAAGAGCUCGUAGGCGGCUUGUCGCGUCGACUGUGAAAACCCGCGGCUCAACCGCGGGCCUGCAGCCGAUACGGGCAGGCUGGAGUUCGGUAGGGGAGACUGGAAUUCCUGGUGUAGCGGUGAAAUGCGCAGAUAUCAGGAGGAACACCAGUGGCGAAGGCGACACGCUGGGCCAUACCUGACGCUAAAGCGCGACAGCAUGGGGAGCAAACGGG